AUUGAACGCUGGCGGCAUGCUUUACACAUGCAAGUCGAACGGUAACAGGUUAAGCUGACGAGUGGCGAACGGGUGAGUAAUGCAUCGGAACGUGCCCGGUCGUGGGGGAUAACGCAGCGAAAGCUGCGCUAAUACCGCAUACGAUCUGAGGAUGAAAGCGGGGGACCGAAAGGCCUCGCGCGAUCGGAGCGGCCGAUGUAAGAUAAGGGAGUUGGGGGGGUAAAGGCUCACAAAGCCGACGAUCUGUAGCUGGUCUGAGAGGAGGACCAGCCACACUGGGACUGAGACACGGCCCAGACUCCUACGGGAGGCAGCAGUGGGGAAUUUUGGACAAUGGGCGCAAGCCUGAUCCAGCAAUGCCGCGUGCAGGAAGAAGGCCUUCGGGUUGUAAACUGCUUUUGUACGGAGCGAAAAGGCUCUCUCUAAUACAGGGGGCUUAUGACGGUACCGUAAGAAUAAGCACCGGCUAACUACGUGCCAGCCGCCGCAGUAA
rnacentral:rRNA from 1 species